GACGUAGGGCGCGAGCGUUGUCCGGAUUUAUUGGGCGUAAAGGGUGUGUAGGUGGCGCGCUAAGUCGGGUGUGAAAUUUCGGAGCUUAACUCCGAAACUGCAUUCGAUACUGGCGUGCUUGAGGACUGGAGAGGAGACUGGAAUUCAUGGUGUAGCAGUGAAAUGCGUAGAGAUCAUGAGGAAGACCAGUGGCGAAGGCGGGUCUCUGGACAGUUCCUGACACUGAGACACGAAGGCCAGGGGAGCAAACGGG
rnacentral:rRNA from 1 species